ACACGACUACAUUAGACUACCCCCGUAGUCCCAGCCCUAAACGAUGCGCGUUAGGUGUAUCGGUGACCACGAGUCACCGAGGUGCCGAAGGGAAACCGUGAAACGUGCCGCCUGGGAAGUACGGUCGCAAGGCUAGAAACUUAAAGGAAUUGGCGGGGGAGCACCACAACGGGUGGAGCCUGCGGUUUAAUUGGACUCAACGCCGGGAAGCUCACCGGAUAAGACAGCGGAAUGGUUGCCGGGCUGAAGACCCUGCAUGACCAGCUG
rnacentral:rRNA from 1 species